GAUGAACGCUGGCGGCGUGCCUAAUACAUGCAAGUCGAGCGAACAGACGAGGAGUUUGCUCCUCUGACGUUAGCGGCGGACGGGUGAGUAACACGUGGAUAACCUACCUAUAAGACUGGGAUAACUUCGGGAAACCGGAGCUAAUACCGGAUAAUAUCUUGAACCGCAUGGUUCAAUAGUGAAAGACGGUUUUGCUGUCACUUAUAGAUGGAUCCGCGCCGCAUUAGCUAGUUGGUAAGGUAACGGCUUACCAAGGCAACGAUGCGUAGCCGACCUGAGAGGGGGAUCGGCCACACUGGAACUGAGACACGGUCCAGACUCCUACGGGAGGCAGCAGUAGGGAAUCUUACGCAAUGGGCGAAAGCCUGACGGAGCAACGCCGCGUGAGUGAUGAAGGUCUUAGGAUCGUAAAACUCUGUUAUGAGGGAAGAACAAAUGUGUAAGUAACUAUGCACGUCUUGACGGUACCUAAUCAGAAAGCCACGGCUAACUACGUG
rnacentral:rRNA from 1 species